GGCAGCAGUGAGGAAUAUUGGUCAAUGGACGAGAGUCUGAACCAGCCAAGUAGCGUGCAGGAUGACGGCCCUAUGGGUUGUAAACUGCUUUUAUAAGGGAAUAAAGUGAGAGUCGUGACUCUUUUUGCAUUACCUUAGAAU
rnacentral:rRNA from 1 species